rnacentral:rRNA from 3 species
GGUAUCAGAAGUGCGAAUGCUGACAUAAGUAACGAUAAAGCGGGUGAAAAGCCCGCUCGCCGGAAGACCAAGGGUUCCUGUCCAACGUUAAUCGGGGCAGGGUGAGUCGACCCCUAAGGCGAGGCCGAAAGGCGUAGUCGAUGGGAAACGGGUUAAUAUUCCCGUACUUGGUGUUACUGCGAAGGGGGGACGGAGAAGGCUAUGUUGGCCGGGCGACGGUUGUCCCGGUUUAAGCGUGUAGGUGUGUGUUCCAGGUAAAUCCGGUUCACUUUAACACUGAGGCGUGAUGACGAGGCACUACGGUGCUGAAGCAACAAAUGCCCUGCUUCCAGGAAAAGCCUCUAAGCAUCAGGUAACAUCAAAUCGUACCCCAAACCGACACAGGUGGUCAGGUAGAGAAUACCAAGGCGCUUGAGAGAACUCGGGUGAAGGAACUAGGCAAAAUGGUGCCGUAACUUCGGGAGAAGGCACGCUGACACGUAGGUGAAGUGAUUUACUCAUGGAGCUGAAGUCAGUCGAAGAUACCAGCUGGCUGCAACUGUUUAUUAAAAACACAGCACUGUGCAAACACGAAAGUGGACGUAUACGGUGUGACGCCUGCCCGGUGCCGGAAGGUUAAUUGAUGGGGUCAGCGCAAGCGAAGCUCCUGAUCGAAGCCCCGGUAAACGGCGGCCGUAACUAUAACGGUCCUAAGGUAGCGAAAUUCCUUGUCGGGUAAGUUCCGACCUGCACGAAUGGCGUAAUGAUGGCCAGGCUGUCUCCACCCGAGACUCAGUGAAAUUGAACUCGCUGUGAAGAUGCAGUGUACCCGCGGCAAGACGGAAAGACCCCGUGAACCUUUACUAUAGCUUGACACUGAACAUUGAGCCUUGAUGUGUAGGAUAGGUGGGAGGCUUUGAAGUGUGGACGCCAGUCUGCAUGGAGCCGGCCUUGAAAUACCACCCUUUAAUGUUUGAUGUUCUAACGUGGACCCGUGAUCCGGGUUGCGGACAGUGUCUGGUGGGUAGUUUGACUGGGGCGGUCUCCUCCUAAAGAGUAACGGAGGAGCACGAAGGUUGGCUAAUCCUGGUCGGACAUCAGGAGGUUAGUGCAAUGGCAUAAGCCAGCUUGACUGCGAGCGUGACGGCGCGAGCAGGUGCGAAAGCAGGUCAUAGUGAUCCGGUGGUUCUGAAUGGAAGGGCCAUCGCUCAACGGAUAAAAGGUACUCCGGGGAUAACAGGCUGAUACCGCCCAAGAGUUCAUAUCGACGGCGGUGUUUGGCACCUCGAUGUCGGCUCAUCACAUCCUGGGGCUGAAGUAGGUCCCAAGGGUAUGGCUGUUCGCCAUUUAAAGUGGUACGCGAGCUGGGUUUAGAACGUCGUGAGACAGUUCGGUCCCUAUCUGCCGUGGGCGCUGGAGAACUGAGGGGGGCUGCUCCUAGUACGAGAGGACCGGAGUGGACGCAUCACUGGUGUUCGGGUUGUCAUGCCAAUGGCACUGCCCGGUAGCUAAAUGCGGAAGAGAUAAGUGCUGAAAGCAUCUAAGCACGAAACUUGCCCCGAGAUGAGUUCU